ensembl:snRNA U2 U2 spliceosomal RNA
UCUUCUUCUUGGCCUUUUGGCUAAGAUCACGUGUACUAUCUGUUCUUACCAGUCUUUGAAGAUAUCCAUCCUAUAUAAGCCAUGACAUAAACAUCUUGGCUUAGUUUUCAUAUUUUUUGAUUAUAU